ensembl:lncRNA
UAAAGAGGAGAGACCUGACAGCAUGAGGUGUGAACAGUCAGAAAGAGAAACAGAGACUACUGAAAACCAAGACAAGAGUUUUUGUAUCAGUCCACGGGGAUAACUUCAAAGACCAGGACACGGUCAAGCACUGCCAUCAAGAGCUGUAACUUCUGAACCAACAACUCUUACUUCAACAACCAUGCCUACAUCUUCAGAUACAACUGCACCUGUAACAACAUUAGUAACUACAGCUUCCACAUCUACUGAAAUUCCCACAACCGCAGUUGUGAGGACCGAAACCACACCCAUUACUUCAACAACACUGCCUACAACUUCAGAAAGUACAACAGUGGAAACCACCACUACAGCUUCAACAACCACAUUUACAACAACAAAUGAUCCAACAACAUCAACAGCUGUAACUUCAGAAUCCACAACUCUUACUUCAACAACUAUGCCUACAUCUUCAG